UGUUUCGGCAAGGGGGUCAUCCCGACUUACCAACCCGAUGCAAACUGCGAAUACCGGAGAAUGUUAUCACGGGAGACACACGGCGGGUGCUAACGUCCGUCGUGAAGAGGGAAACAACCCAGACCGCCAGCUAAGGUCCCAAAGUCAUGGUUAAGUGGGAAACGAUGUGGGAAGGCCCAGACAGCCAGGAUGUUGGCUUAGAAGCAGCCAUCAUUUAAAGAAAGCGUAAUAGCUCACUGGUCGAGUCGGCCUGCGCGGAAGAUGUAACGGGGCUAAACCAUGCACCGAAGCUGCGGCAGCGACGCUUAUGCGUUGUUGGGUAGGGGAGCGUUCUGUAAGCCUGUGAAGGUGUACUGUGAGGUAUGCUGGAGGUAUCAGAAGUGCGAAUGCUGACAUAAGUAACGAUAAAGCGGGUGAAAAGCCCGCUCGCCGGAAGACCAAGGGUUCCUGUCCAACGUUAAUCGGGGCAGGGUGAGUCGACCCCUAAGGCGAGGCCGAAAGGCGUAGUCGAUGGGAAACAGGUUAAUAUUCCUGUACUUGGUGUUACUGCGAAGGGGGGACGGAGAAGGCUAUGUUGGCCGGGCGACGGUUGUCCCGGUUUAAGCGUGUAGGCUGGUUUUCCAGGCAAAUCCGGAAAAUCAAG
rnacentral:rRNA from 1 species